UACGGGGGAGCAAGCGUUGUUCGGAUUUACUGGGCGUAAAGGGCGCGUAGGCGGUCGUGACAAGUCACUUGUGAAAUCUCCGGGCUUAACUCGGAACGGUCAAGUGAUACUGUCGGACUAGAGUACAGAAGGGGCAACUGGAAUUCUCGGUGUAGCGGUGAAAUGCGUAGAUAUCGAGAGGAACACCUGGCGGCGAAGGCGGGGUCUCUGGGCCGAUACUGACGCUGGAGGCGCGACAGCGUGGGGAGCAAACAGG
rnacentral:rRNA from 1 species